CCGGUCGUUCCGUCGACCGUAGCCUACCGGUGCAUGCGUUGUUGGUAACGACGACGUGUGAAGCCACCGGGACAACGUGGCUGGCCUCUGGCCUAGCUGUCUCCGUGAGGAGAGAUAACGCCUGCGAGCUUUCCUCGACCGGGUCC
rnacentral:ncRNA from 1 species